rnacentral:rRNA from 1 species
GGGAUCGAGAUCAGUGAAGGCUCGACCACUGCUGCAAGUCUUGAUCAGCUAACUGGGCUAAGGAAACUUGCCAUUUACAAGCUCAAUAUUAUUGAGGGUCAAAAAACCUUCAUAGAUUUAUGCUCCUCCAUUCAGUACCUCUGCAGCUGCGGUCUACAGACACUUGCAAUCAAUGAUGAGAGCUCUAAUUUUAUCAACUCACUAGACUCCAUGUCCGCUCCUCCAAGAUACCUCACUGGUCUGGAGCUGUCUGGCAUGUUGGAAAAGCCUCCAAAGUGGAUCGUGGAGCUCAAGAACCUCUACAAGCUGACCCUUUCUGUGACAGUUCUUAAGACUGAUACUUUCAAGCUCAUCCAGGACCUGCCCGAAUUGUUUUCUCUCACCUUUACACUCAAUAGGGAGAUAAUUGUUCCUCCUGGAGGAUUCAAGAGUCUAAAGCUGCUUCGCUUCUUUGCAACUUUGGUGCCAAGGCUGAGCUUUGCAGUUACAGGAGAGGUAAUGCCACCACUCGAGAGGAUUGAUCUGCAGUUUCAGGCCUUCGAAGGGAUUUAUGGCAUCGAGACUCUUAGUAGUCUCCGAGAAGUGCAUCUCAGCGUUGAUAAUCAAGCCGAUGAGAUAACCAAGUUCUUGGUAGAAGAUUUGAAGGAUACCCCCAAG